rnacentral:rRNA from 1 species
CCUACGGGGGGCUGCAGUGGGGAAUAUUGGACAAUGGGGGGAACCCUGAUCCAGCCAUGCCGCGUGUGUGAAGAAGGCCCUCGGGUUGUAAAGCACUUUCAGUGAGGAAGAACGCCUGGUGGUUAAUACCCAUCAGGAAAGACAUCACUCACAGAAGAAGCACCGGCUAACUCCGUGCCAGCAGCCGCGGUAAUACGGAGGGUGCGAGCGUUAAUCGGAAUUACUGGGCGUAAAGCGCGCGUAGGUGGCUUGAUAAGCCGGUUGUGAAAGCCCCGGGCUCAACCUGGGAACGGCAUCCGGAACUGUCAAGCUAGAGUGCAGGAGAGGAAGGUAGAAUUCCCGGUGUAGCGGUGAAAUGCGUAGAGAUCGGGAGGAAUACCAGUGGCGAAGGCGGCCUUCUGGACUGACACUGACACUGAGGUGCGAAAGCGUGGGUAGCAAACAGGAUUAGAUACCCUUGUAGUC